GUUGUGGCUUAGUGGUGGAGCACUUGCCUGGCAUGUGUGGAGCCCUGGGUUCAAUCCUCAGCACCACA
rnacentral:tRNA from 1 species